GAAACCCUCUGCAAAAAUAUGUAAUAACCAUCCAACAGAGCUCCUAACAAUACACUCAAACAACAACAACAAAUAACAACAUUCCCAGUGUAUCACACAUGUGGGAUUUGAAUGCAACCUUACCCUGCAGAAGGUCUGUUAAUAAUAUAUUCCAUCUGUUAAAGUUGAUACAAGGAUUGUUGGGUUUCUUAUAGUAAUGGAGAAAUCAUUGGCUGAUGCAGAGAACGGUAACCACCCUUUCAAUGAGAAAUCUCGUAAGCACAUUGUAGCCUCAUUCUUUCUGUUUUGAGCUUUUGUUUUGUACAUUUCCCUAACCUUUUGCUUCCCCAAACUGAUAGAGAAAGUGAGGCUCAGAUCUGUGUUAAGCUCGAGCAAAAAGAGAGUCCAACC
rnacentral:misc_RNA from 1 species